ensembl:miRNA Mir6908 microRNA 6908
GAAGCUUGCCUGUCAGGGAGAGCCCCAGUGUGUGGAUGCUGACACUCUCCCUUGUGCUGGCAG